rnacentral:rRNA from 1 species
UGGGGAAUUUUGCGCAAUGGGCUAACGCCUGACGCAGCAACGCCGCGUGGAGGAUGAAGGUCUUUGGAUUGUAAACUCCUGUCAGCAGGGAAAAAGCGACCUGACCUCAUACGUCAGGAAGUUGAUUGUACCUGCAGAGGAAGCCCCGGCUAACUCUGUGCCAGCAGCCGCGGUAAUACAGAGGGGGCAAGCGUUAUUCGGAAUUAUUGGGCGUAAAGGGCGCGUAGGCGGCCUGGCAAGUGGAAGGUGAAAUCCCUCGGCUUAACCGAGGAACUGCCUUCCAUACUGCUUGGCUUGAGACCAGGAGAGGUGAGUGGAAUUCCCAGUGUAGCGGUGAAAUGCGUAGAUAUUGGGAGGAACACCAGUGGCGAAGGCGGCUCACUGGACUGGUACUGACGCUGAGGCGCGAAAGCGUGGGGAGCAAACGGG